rnacentral:rRNA from 1 species
AAUCGUGACUCGGGUUACCGCGGCUGCUGGCACGGAGUUAGCCGGUGCUUCUUCUGCGAGUAACGUCACAGAUGUAAGGUAUUAACUUACACCCUUUCCUCCUCGCUGAAAGUGCUUUACAACCCGAAGGCCUUCUUCACACACGCGGCAUGGCUGCAUCAGGGUUUCCCCCAUUGUGCAAUAUUCCCCACUGCUGCCUCCCGUAGGAGUCUGGGCCGUGUCUCAGUCCCAGUGUGGCUGAUCAUCCUCUCAGACCAGCUAGGGAUCGUCGCCUAGGUGAGCCUUUACCUCACCUACUAGCUAAUCCCACCUGGGCUUAUCCAUCAGCGCAAGGCCCGAAGGUCCCCCUGCUUUCCCCCGUAGGGCGUAUGCGGUAUUAGCAGUCGUUUCCAACUGUUAUCCCCACAAAUGGGCAAAUUCCCAGGCAUUACUCACCCGUCCGCCGCUCGUCAUCUUCAAAAGCAAGCUUUUGAAACUGUUACCGCUCGACUUGCAUGUGUUAGGCCUGCCGCCAGCGUUCAAUCUGAACC